ACUGAAUAAUACAAUUUCUAUUUGCAAAACAAACAAUAACUAAAAUCUCUAUUACGUAUGUAUACAUGAUUAUAUAAGCAUGAAAAAAGUGGGGAAAGAUACGCUCUAGGUUCUUACCAUGACUUACUUAGGGUCAGUGAGGGGCUACUGAUGCUGAUGGACAGGACAACUGCAUAUGGCCACACAGAUUAUGUACUGUAUAAUUCCAGGGGCAUCAUUCAUAUAGACUGGGGUGGACAUAUUUUUAAGUGGGCCCUAUGAUCCUUGCUUUUUAGUGUUCAUGAACUUUUUUGAUUCUAUCUUCUUAUGUGUAGGAGGAAUCUGUGAUUUUUUUCUAACCAAUAUAAUACAGCAAAGGUGAUUAUAUGUGUGUGAUUAUGUUACUUAAGAUUGUAGUGCCCAUCUUUCUGGAAUUUCUCUUACCCUUGUUGGCUGUGAGGAGGCAAGUGGCCAUGUUGGGGAACCCCAUAUGACAAGGAACUUCAAUUGAGUUGUUGAGGAUGGCCUCCAGCCAACAGGAAACCAAAAACGGAAGCUCUCAAUCCUACAACUAUAAGGAGCUGAAUGCUGUCAACAACCAUGCCAUCAGAGAAAUAGAACUCAGUGACAUGACCACACUUAAGUGCAAAGGAAUGUGAGCAAUAUCAUUGAGCUGUCCUCCCAGGAAGAAGAAGAAAUGGAUGGGUGAAUAACCAGCAGUCCCUCCACAACUCUCCCUCAGCUGACAACUAGAAAAGUAACAACAACAACAAAAAAACGAUAAUUCAACCUUCAAUGAAACAAGAAAAUGGCCAAACCUUGUCAUUAAUUUUAUAUCGUAUUGUCUGAUUAGUGGCACUACAGAAACCAGAAUUAGUAAGGAUGCUAAGAAGUGAUAUAUACUUUUAAGGUCUUCGGCUGGACUACAUGCUUUCCUAAAAGAAGGAGUCACAGUAACCAAAAGCACAGAAAGAAUGACAAAAUUUUGUGUCAGGAAUGAAUGCUGAAGAACAAGGAGACAUCUCAGUAGAAACCCAGUUCAUUCUGCGUGAUGGUAAGGGAGGGCGAGCUGCAGGAGAAGACUCGCUCAUAACCUAUCUUUGUUGCAACCCUGCCUAGCUUAAGGAAACCACAAGAAAUUAAGCAAAUGUUUUUAAAAAGGGAAAGAAGAUAAAUAAAAGGUAAUGCAAGCACACAUUACAAGAAGAAUAGAGGAGUUUCCCAAAGGAAAAAAAAGGUUCAAAGAAAGUUCUGACCAUUCACAAAUAAAUUAUAG
rnacentral:lncRNA from 1 species